rnacentral:lncRNA from 1 species
ACAAAAUAAGAAUUAUAAAUGCUAAUUACACACUAAUAUUGGAUCAAGCUCUUAAUAUUUAUGAUAUUUCUGAAAUUAUAGAAUUGCAACUAAAGUCAAUUUUAAUACCUGAAAAUCAGGUUUAUUUUUAUUUUUAUUUUUUAUCUAUGCACUAUGAUGACAAAGGAUAAAACUCCAAUUUGAUCUGACAACUUCUCUCCUACUCUAUCUCUUAUUUUGGCAAAAAUUUGUAAUUUCUGAUUCAUAUCUUUUCCCUACUUAUAAGUGCUCUUUUUGCCUUAUCUUUUUUUUUUUUUCUUUUUUUCGAGACAGGGUUUCUCUGUAUAGCCCUGGUUGUCCUGGAACUCACUCUGUAGACCAGGCUGGCCUCGAACUCAGAAAUCCACCUCCUGAGUGCUGGGAUUAAAGGCGUGCGACACUACACCCGGCUAUUUUUUGUCUUAUCAAUGUCAUAGAAAUACACACCAAUAAGUUAUUCCUGUUUGGUAUUUGGAAUUACAAAAAUUGAAAUCUACAGGAUGUUGGUUACUGUAUUCUCUAGUAUGUAGUCAGAUAUAAUUGACAGCAAUAGAGUAUUGACAAUAUACAGACAGGCAGAACAUAUAUGAAUAUUUGAUGCUGAAGGCAGAGGGACAAAAAACAAGGUUGUGAGGGGACAAACAUGUUUUGCACUCCAGUUAAAUGUUACCACCUUAGACACACUUACUCUUCCUGUUAUUAAAUUCAGUACCUUAGGAGUCAUCUUAUAGCUUUAUUGCUUUGCCAAGAAUCGGUGAAGCUUAGUUUCUGUCAUUUACAACACGAGCUCUGCUUAUGCUGAUCAUUGUUAGUAGACUUCUUAUUGUCGUCGUGCUUACUACCACUGUGUACUACGUGCAACUUUAAGUGUGGUUCCUAUGGAGCAUGUGAAUGUUCCUUUGCUCCUUAGAAUUCAGUUCAGUUCAGACAGUGAAUAUCCAGUGACUUUUAUUAGGAAAUUCCCAUCAGUUAGAGAGAGAAGAAAGGUGGGAAUGGACCUGAAGGAGAACAUUAACCUGAACCAAAUAGUAUGCUACCAGCAGAGGCAAAUGCAAGGUGCUCGAAUGGCUGUUGUCUGGGGGCUUUGGAAAGUUUUAAGGUUUAAGUAAUCAGGAGCUUAUGAGCAGCUGGCAAGCAAGGAAAGCCCAAUGUCAAAGGUAGUAAUUUUAAGAUGUUAUGCCAGAAUUCAAGAAAGUAGUUCACAUUUGAAAGUAAAUUAUGAAUAUUACAAUAAUGCACAGACGUCUAUAUGUUACAUCUGUGCUGAUGGACACACAGCAAUGCAUACUCACACACAGGACCCUGAGCUAGUUUGAGAUAGUGAAGAGUGAGUGAGUGUGUAGAAGUUUGAGCUCAGUGAAAGUUGAGGCAUGUUCCUGUAUGGCAUGCUAAAGAUCUUGGAUGGUAAUUCAAUGGUAGUGUACGACACUUUACAAAGGAGCAUAACUGUAGGGGAAAAAGACACAGAGGGAGUCAAGUGUCUCAAACAGAAAGAUGACAGUGCUUGGUUUAGUACUUGGGACACAGAGUUAAGUAUAAGUAAAAUUAAAUUAAUUUUAAAAAAGUCAGGUUAGGCAACAAUAUGAGAUUUUGCUUUCAGUACCAUACCAACAUUGAUGUCAAUCAAUAUUAUAUAUGAGAUGCCAUCAAUUAAUGGAGCAAGUGGAGUUCUUUUUUAAAAAAUAUUUACUUAUUCAUUCUUUACAUUCCAAUGGCAGCCUUCUCUUUCUCCUCUUCCCAGUCUCAGAGAAGGAGACGCCCCUCUUAGGUACCAUCCUACCCUGGGACAUCCAGGUCCAAAAGGACUAAACACAUAUUCUCCCACUGAAGCCCAACAAGGCAGUCAGUUAAAGGAAGGGGAUCCAAUGGCAGGUAACAGAAAAAAGACAACCUCUGCUCUAAUUGUUAGGGCAACCACAUGAAGACCAAGCCACAUAAAUGUUACAAAUGUGUAAGGGACUAGGUCCAGCCCAUGCAUGCUCUUUGAGAACUCCCAUGGUCCUAGGUUAGGUGACUCUGUAGAUAUUCUUGUGGUCCUUUAACUUUAUUUCUUUGAUGCUUCCUCAAGUUUUCACAAGCUCCACCUGAUGUUCAGCUGUUGGUCUCUGGAUCGGAUUCCAUCAACUUCCAGAUGAAGCCUCUCAGAAGAUAGUUAUGCUAGCUUCUUCUUUGCUAGCAUAGCAGAGUAUCAUUAAUAGUGUCAGAGUGUUGGCUCUCUUCCUAGGGAUGGAUCUCAAGUUUGGACAGUACUUGGUUGGCCAUUCCCUCAGUCUUGGCUUAAUUUUUAUCCCUGUUUAUCUUGUAUGCAGGAAAAACUUGGGUUUGAAGGUUUUGUAGGUGGAAAGAUCUCCUAUGCUCAUGAACCAGUAGGAUUAACAUAGUAAAAAUGGCCAUUUUACCAAAAGAAAGCUUAGGUUCAAUAUAAUUCUUAUUAAAAUUCCACCACAAUUCUUUACAGACCUUGAAAGAGAAAUUCUUUACUUCAUAUGGAAAAAAAUAAAAAUGCAGGAUAGCUAAUGCAAUACUGAACAAGAAAAGCACUUUUGGAGGACCAUCUAUGAUUUCAAGCUAUACUAUAGAACAAUGGUAAUAAAAAACACAUGUUAUUGGCACAAGAAAGACAGUUUGAUCAAUGGAAUAUAAUUGAAGACCCAGAAAUAAACCCACACACCUAUGGACACUUUGUAUUUGACAAGGAAGCCCAAACCAUACAAUACAAAAGUGAAAGUAACUUCAACAAAUGCUGCUGGUGGAUAGCUGCAUUUAGAAGAAUGCAAAUAAGCCCACAUCUAUCAUUCUGCCCAACAGUAUGGUAAAAAUGAUCAGAAAACGAGAUACACUGAAUCUAACAGAAGAGAAAUUGGAGAACUGUCUUGAACAUAUUCUCACCGGAGACAAAUUCUUGAACAGAACAUUCUGAAACUAAGAUCAAAAAUUAAAAUGUUGGGCCUCAUGAAACUGAAAAGCUUCUGAAAGGUUAAAUACACCAUCGAUAGGACAAAACAGCAGCCUAUAGUUUGAGAAAAGAUCUUCAGCAACCCUACAUCUGACAACAGACAAUAUCUAAAUUAUAUAGAGAACUCAAGAAAUUAGACACCAACAAACUAAAAGCACAGUUUAAAAAUGGGAUGCAGAGCUAAACAGAGAAAUCUCCACAGAGGAAUCUCAAAUGGAUGAGAAACACUUAAAGAAAUGCUUAAUGUAUUUAGUCAUCAGGGAAAUAUAAAUCAAGAUGACUCUGAGAUUCCAUCUUACACCCAUCACAAUGGCUAAGGUCAAAAUCUAAAUCAACAGCACAUGCUGGCGAGGGUCUGGAGCUGGUGGAGGUGCAAACUUGUACAACCACUUUGGAAAUUAAUUUUGUGGUUUCUCAAAAAACUGGAAACAGUUCUACCCCAAGACUCAGCUAUACUACUCCUAGGCAUAUACUCAAAAGAUGCAUCACUAUAUACAACAAAGAUACUUGCUUAACGGUGCUCAUAGCAGUAAAUACCCAGAAACUGUAAACAAUCUAGAUGUCCUUCAAUUUAAGAAUAGAUAAAGAAAAUGUAGUUUAUCUACACAAUAUGAUACUAUUCAGCUAUGAAAAACAAGGGCAUCAUAACAUUUUCAGGUAAAUGGAUAGAUCUAGAAAGUAUCAUUCUGAGUGAGGUAACCCAGACCUAGAAAGACACAUAUGGUAUGUACUUACUUAUAAGUGGACAUUAGGGCUGGAGAGAUGGCUCAGCAGGUAAGAGCACUGACUGCUUUUCCGAAGGUCCUGAGUUCAAAUCCCAGCAACCACAUGGUGGCUCACAACCACCUGUAAUGAGAUCUAACGCCCUCUUCUGGUGCGUCUGAAGACAGCUACAGUGUACUUAUGUAUAAUAAAUAAAUCUUUGGGCCUGAGCAAGCGGAGUUGACCUGAGUGAGUAGGGUGACCAGAGAAGAACAGAGCAGAGGUCCUAAAAAUUCAAUUCCCAACAACCAUAUGAAGGCUCACAACCAUCUGUACAUGUAUUCAUAUACAUAAAAUAAAUAAAUAAAUCUUUAAAAAAAAAGUGGACAUUAGGUAUAAAGUGCAAGAUAACCAUGCUAUAAUCUACAGAUCUAAGGAAACUAAGAAAUAAGGAAGGCCCAAAGAGGAUGUGUGGAUGUCAUUCAAAGGAGAAAACAAAAUAGUCAUUGGAGGAGGAUAAAGUGAGGGAGCUAAGUAUGAGAGGACGUGAGGAGGUACACUGGCAUGCGGAUUGGAUGUGGGAAGAGUGGGGCGGGAGACAAUUGGGAGUGAGAAUAGAAAUUGGUGCAAGGCAUCUCUGAGCAAGUGGGUUUUUAAAUGACUAUGGAUAAAGAUAGUGUAUUCAACUGCUUUGGACAAGACAUCAAUUUUUGUGAAGGUUUAAAUUUGCUUCUACUUCAACAGAAAUGUAAAGAAUCACAUACCACUUUGAGCAGAGAUUAACAUAAGGUUAGAGUAAAUGUUAUAAAUCACUAAUAAUCAAACAGUAGUUGGCUUAAACUUUGCAAUUUAUAUAAGAAACUUCGGAGGAGCUCAACAGUUUGGUCAUUAAUCUAGAAUUGAUGCUAUCACUGAGGCGGUCAAAACAUCUUUGUUCAUGUGAAGGGGUUACUGAAUUCAGUGUUCCCCAUAAAGACAGUUUUUAUGUGGAACUGGAGGACAGCUAAAGAGCAGAGCCUCUGUGAAAACAGUACACUCUGCGAUGCUCUCAGCUGCACUGCAGUGAACAUGACCAGCACCUUGUGUGAGUUCCCACUUUGAGGCUGCUGAUCCCUCGGAGUCUGCAAGGGACUUCAUCAGGUCAACUGGCCAAUGAAUGUCUACUUUAAUAGUUAUAGAUGAGAAGGCUCCUAGGAUGAAGGAAUAUGGAAGAGGCUCUUUGUGCCCAAAUAUUGUAUAAUCAUAGAAAUGAUGCAAAAUGCCCAUGCUAGAAAUAGAUUCUAUAGGAGAAAAAAAAAAGGUUCUGGGGUUUUUGAAAUCAAUCUAAUCACAACAGAGUAUGGAAAUUUUGUAACAUAUCCUGUUUUCUAACUAAGUGACUAUUUGAUUACAUUAUACAAAAAAGUUGUAAAAAAUGCUACCCUAUAAAUUUCUAUAAAUCCUUAAAGCAGGGGAAGAGUGCUAGAAAAAUCUACCUCUAGGAGAGCCUUCAUAUAACUUUGCAGCCAGACAUGUCUUUCCUGCAUACAUUUGUAUUUUUCUCCUCUAUCAAAUCUGUGUUACAAAUCAUAUCAAGUAGACAUUUGGGGAAAGAUGAAUUCCAAUGACAAAAAAGGCAAAUUUUUCUGUUUUAGGAAAUGAUUGUUUAUUUCCCAAAUGGAUGACAGUGAAUGUCAUCAAGAACAGCAUUCGGUUACCUCACUCAGAAUGAUGCCCUCCAGGUCCAUUCAUUUGCCUAGGAAUUUCAUAAAUUCAUUCUUUUUAAUAGCUGAGUAGUACUCCAUUAUGUAAAUGUACCACAUUUUCUGUAUCCAUUCCUCUGUUGAGGGGCAUCUGGGUUCUUUCCAACUUCUGGCUAUUAUAAAUAAGGCUGCUAUGAACAGAGUAGAGCAUGUGUCCUUCUUACUGGUUAGAACAUCUUCUGGAUAUAUGCCCAGGAGAAGUAUUACGGGAUCCUCCGGUAGUACUAUGUCCAAUUUUCUGAGGAACCGCCAGACUGAUUUCCAGAGUGGUUGUACAAGCUUGCAAUUCUACCAACAAUGGAGGAGUGUUCCUCUUUCUCCACAUCCUUGCCAGCAUCUGCUGUCACCUGAAUUUUUGAUCUUAGCCAUUCUGACUG